UUGGGCAUAUGACUCUUCAUUUAGGGACCUUCUAAAUUCAUGGGGUAUCAGUGCAAAUGUUAGUGGGCCAGUAUUCCCUUGAAACUGUGUAUCCUUUUUAGAAUUUAAUGUAAGGGCCAUUCUUUGUCCAAUUUUUUAAAAUUAAAAACAAUAAUAAGUAUUUAUUCCUUGAAUCCAAGUGUACUAAAUUUGUAUAAAGCCUUGAGUUGGUUUAAAGUAAGCUUUUAAAAUGGAUGAUAGAAGCCUUAAAUAGUAGCCAGAAAUAGAAACAAUAUCCUCUGCUCUCUCCAAUUUAUCUACCACGCCCUCUGUGUCUGUUCCACACUCUCUGUCCCUUCCCCUUUGACAAAGAACAUGCUAUCUUUGCCUUCCUCCAGCUUCUCCUUCCCUUGUUCAUCAGCUGUUUCCUCUCCUUUGCUCAGCUGCAUGGCUCUAGCAUUUUCCCUCUCUGCCUUUUGCAUUGGCAUAGUUCCCUCUUUACCAGGUAAUUGCCAUCAGGAUACAAACAUGGCAUAGUGGCUCUCAUUUCAUUACACUUUUCUCAGUCCUGCAACCACCCCCCCAGCUGUUAUCUCGUUUCUUCACAGCAGAGCUCUUCAAAUCUUCUGUAUAUACUACCUCAAAUUUUCCCCAUUCUUUGUUAAACCCAUUCCAAUCAGGUGUUCUCUCGACCAGUUUAUCAGAGCUCCUCUUGUUAAGGUAACCAGUGACUUUCAUGUUGCUAAUCUAGUGAUUAGCUUUAAGUUUUAAUCUUUUUAAAAACAUUUAAUUCCCAUUUUUUUAAAAGUUCCAUCAGCUGUGUACAUUCAUCUUUCUUAAAUGGAGGAAUAAUUAACAUAUAAUUAAUUUCAGGUAUAUGACAUAAUGAUUUGAUAGUUCUAUAUAUUAUGAAAUGAUCACCACUGUAAUACUAGUUGACAUCUAUCACCAUAGUUAGUUAAUUUUGUUUUCUUGUAACAAGAACUUUUCAGAUCUACUCCUUUAGCAACUAUCAGAUACGCAAUACAGUAUUAUUAACUAUAGUCACCAUGCUUUACAUUGCAUCCCCAUAAUUUAUUUUAUAAUUGUAAGUUUGUACAUUUGACCGUCCUUAUCUUUGAUCUAUCAAUAUUUGGCACAACGUAAUCACUUUU